CCUAUGAAGCUUUACUGUAACUUGAAAUUGAAAUUGGACUUUAUUCGCGCAGUAUAGGUGGGAGGCGUUGAUUAUAAUCUUGUGGGAUUAUUGGAGCCAUCAGUGAGAUACCACUCUUGUAAUGUUAGAUUUCUAACUUUGAAUCAUUAUCUGGUCAAAGAACAGUUUCAGGCGGGCAGUUUGACUGGGGCGGUCGCCUCCCAAACGGUAACGGAGGCGUACAAAGGUUUCCUCUGAACGGUUAGAAAUCGUAUCUAGAGUGUAAAGGCAUAAGGAAGCUUGACUGUGAGACCUACAAGUCGAGCAGGGACGAAAGUCGGUCUUAGUGAUCUGACGGUACUGAGUGGAAAGG
rnacentral:rRNA from 4 species